rnacentral:lncRNA from 1 species
ACUGUAACGUAUCCCUAAUUGAGCACCCAGGUGGUGUGACACUUCUGCCCUGUCCCUGCCCUCAGAGGAGAUUCUGACAUAUCACUGCCCCAAAAUGCAGCACCUGAGUAAUUUGACUCUCCUGCCUGGACCCAGCGUACAGAUGGGAUUGUGCUUCAUUGCUGGACCCAGCAUUUAGGCCCACUACCUAUGAGAUUGCAUGCUCCUGCCUGGGCUGUGCCCACAGUGACCUUGUGACAUAUAUCUGCAUCCAUGACCUAAAAGAUGUGACACUUCUUGCCUGCAACCUGCCCUGCACAGGAAAGAUUGCGACUUCUCCCUGGAAGCAGACACCAGGAGAGAACUGUAACAUAUCCCUGGAUGAGCACCCAGGUGAUGUGAUAUUCCUGCUUGGUUCUUUCCCUCAGGGAAGAUUGUGAGAUACCCUUGGCUGAAAUCCCAGGUCAUACAGAAUUGCCACCCUCCAACAUAUCAUAUAAUGCCCUCGAGUGUUACAAAGAGUGUUAUCCCAAGGCACACAGCACAAAGGUGAGAUUGUUUCUUAUAUGCACACCUCACCAACCAUUAGGAUUAUCACCCUUACACAUGAAAAGAGCCCAUUGCUGAGGUCUUGAAUCUCAAAUGCAAACACUGUCCAGAGUUGGAAUUGUGACUGUCAUAUAUGAGCCUCCGGCCACAGUUGAGAUGGUGACACACUUCUAAACUCAGAACAUAGCAGAUGAGGACUCUACUAUAUAAACCCUACCAACUGGAGAGAUGUUGGCUCUAAUACCUGGACUUAGAGCCACAAGUAUGGUCAUGGGUGCUUACAAACAUGACUUUAGAGUAAAUUGUGACUCUUAUUUAUACUGGAUAAAGCCUUUGAGUAGUAUAGAGAGUGUACUAGCUGGGCGCCAUGGCUCAUGCCUGUUAUCCCAGCACUUUGGGAGGCUGAGGCAGGUAGAUCAUGAGUCAGGAGUUUGAGACAAGCCUGGCCAACAUGGUGAAAACCUGCCUCUACUAAAAUUGCAAAAAAUCAGCUGAGCAUGGAUGUGGCCGCCUACUGGGCCUUUCCUGCAGGCCCUGGCUGAUGGAUAGAAUUAGUACUCAGACACAGGUAUGCAGUGUAACAGCAGCUAGAUAAUGGCCUGCCUCUAGUGGCCAGAGAGCUGCCCCAAGAAGCUGGAGCUGCUUGCUUUCUUUCAGUGCAGGCACAAUGCCAAAAACCUGGAGCAAACACAACCUGCAGGUAAUUAACAUUUAUUGUUCUCCUUUCAGGGAUCGUCACUCCCGUGGAUGAUCAAAGGCGCCUGUAAUUUCAGCUACUCCGGGGGCUGAGGCAGGAGAAUCGCUUGAACUCGGGAAGCAGAAGUUGCAGUGAGCCAAGGUCGCACCACUGCACUCCAGCCCAGGCGACAUUGUGAGACUCCAUCUCAAAAAAAAAAAAAAGAAAAAAAGUGUACUAACAAGACCCAGCACACAGAGGAGACUUUUACCAUUGUAUGAACACCCAUCAAACAGUACACAUCAUCAUUGUGAGUUCUGAAUCUCACACAUAGAGGAAGUCAAAGGUGGAAAACUUGACUCUCAUAUUUGGAUCCAGUCCACAGGUGUGAUUUUGACGCACACUUCUGCCCAGCACCUGAGUAAUGUGAUUCUUCAGAAUUGGCCCGGCCCACAAAUAGGAUUGUGCCACACUGCUGGACCCAGUGCCUAAGUGAUGUAACUCUAUUCUUCUGCCUUGGUGCUACUCGAAAAAGACAUUGUAACAUAUCUCAGAGCCUUACACCCAGGUAAUGUGAGUCUCCUCUUCUGCCUUGCUGCUGCACACAGAAGCGGAAUAUGUACAGGAUUGUUAAUCUCAUCUUGGAUCUUCCUGCACUUGUGAUUGUGACACAUGCCUCUGUGUAGAACCUGAGUGAGUUUACUCUCCUGCCUGGAUUUAACCCAUAGAUGGAAUCGUGACAUAUCACUGUACCAGAAACUAGGUGAUGUGACUCUAUUUUCUUGCCUCUGUGUUUUUAUAUGGGGCAUCGUGACAUAUCACUGGGCCUUGCACCCAAGUGAUGGGAGUUUUCUCUCCUGCUUUGGUGCCGUCCACAAUGAAAAUUGUGAAAUAUUGCUGCCCUCCCCACUAGGUUAUGUUACUCUCCUGCCUCUGCUUUGCCCACAUGGGUCACUGUGACAUAUUGCUGGGUCUAAAACCCAGGUAAUGUCACUCUCUUGUUUGGGUUCUGCCUGCAGGAGUCAUUGUCACAUAUCUCUAUGCUCAUCACCCAGGUAAUAUGAUUCCCUUUUACUGCUUAGUUCCUUCUCACAAAACAACUUGUGACAUAUUGCUAGGCCCAAUACACCUAGCUGGUGUAACUCUUCUUUUCUUUUCUUUCCUUUUUUUUUUUUUUUUUUUGAGAUGGAGUCUCACUCUGUUGCCCAGGCUGGAGUGCAGCGGCAUGAUUUCAGCUCACUACAGCCUCUGCCUCCUAGGUUGAAGCGAUUGUCCUGACUUGGCCUCCCAAGUAGCUGGGAUUAAAGGCAUGUGCCACCACGCCCGGCUAAUUUUUGUAUUUAUAGUAGAGACAGGGUUUCGCCAUGUUGGCUAGGCUGGUUUCGAACUUCUAACCUCAGGUGAUCCUCCUGCCUCGGCCUCCCAAAGUACUGGAAUUACAGGCAUGAGCCACUGCACCUGGCCUGAUUCUUCUCUUCUUUCUAGGUUUCAACUGCAGCAGAGAUUGUAACAAACCACUGGGCCCAGCCGCAUAAUGAUGUUACUCUUUUGCCUUGGGCCUGCCCUCAGAAGGCACUGUCACAUAUUCAUGGGCCCAACGCCAAGGUGAUAUGUGUCUCCAGCCUGGACCCUGCCCACAGGGGGCAUUGUGACAUAUCUCUUGGCCCAUCAGAUGUUUGAUUGUUAUCCCCUCCCCUCUUCUACCCUGUGUUUGCCUAUAAAAGACACAGUCAUAUGUUCCUGGGCCCAGCACCUAGGUGUUGUCUUACUGGAAUGUGUCCACAUGGGGAUUGUGAUAUGUCACGUGGCCCAGUACUUAACUUGAUGUGACUCUCCUCUCAUGCCUAGGCCUUGUAGAGAAUCCCCUUCCCCUUUUGUUUUCCUUUUUUUCUUUGCAGAUCCAGGAGAUAAUCAACUAAGAGCCAGGCACCCGUUUAGGUCUAAUAAACAUUUUACAAACUGCUCUCUCUUUUAAUUCACCUAUCUGAGAGAUUCCUCUGUACAAUAAAACUUGGUCUCCACAAUCCUUUACCUUAACCUAAACCUUCCCUUUCAUUGAUCCCAGGUCUUCAGAUUCCACCACUUGUCAACCACAAAAUAUUUAAAUUUACCUGGAAGCCGCCCGCUUUGAGUUGUCCCGCCUUUCUGAACCAAACCAAUAUAUUCCUGCAAAACCGGCCAUGAUUAAAACAUCAAAAAAUAAUACAUGUUGGCGUGGCUGUGGUGAAAAAAGAAUACUUUUUCACUGCUGGUGGGUAUGUAAACUAGUACAACCACUAUGAAAAACAGUAUGGAGAUUCAUUAAAUAAAAGUAAAGCUACCAUUUGAUUAAGCAAUUCUACUACUGUGUAUCUACAUGAAGAAAAAGAAAUUAUAUGUGUAAGACACUUGCACACACAUGUUUAUAGCAGCACAAUUUGCAAUUGCAAAAAUAUGGAAGCAGCCUAAUGCCCAUCAGCUAAUGAGUGGAAAAAGAAAAUGUGGCAUAUAUAUACCAAUGCAUACUACUCAGCCCUAACGAGGAAUAAAAUAAUAGCAUUUGCAGCAAUCUCGAUUUAGUUGGAGACCAUUAUUCUAAGUAACUCAGCAAUAAAAAA